rnacentral:lncRNA from 1 species
AAUCGCCUUUCAACUGCACGUGUAAUUAAUCCCAAAGUAUUACCUACUGAAUCAAAACCUGUUUAUAAACCUAUAAAAGUUUCCACCAAAAAGAUUACUGAAUCAAAACCUGCAAAAAUUCCCACCAAAAAGAUUACUGAAUCAAAACCUACAAAACUUCCCACAAAAAAGAUUUCUGAAUCAAAACCCGCAAAAGCUGUCACCAAAAAGAUUUCUGAAUCAAAACCUGCAAAAGUUGUCAACAAAAAGAAUUUUGAAUCAAAACCUCCAAAAGUUGUCACCAAAAAGAAUUUUGAAGCAAAACCUGCAAAAAUGGCAACUAAGAAGACCAAUGAACAAAAACCUGCAAAAAUUGGGAACAAGAAGAUUGUUGA